AAAAGUUUGUUCCAGUUUUUCUAUCACAUCUUAUGGAAAAACUGGAAUGAACUUUUUGG
ensembl:miRNA